CGGCUCAGUAACCCUUAGUCAACCUGCCCUCGGGUCGAGAAUAAUCUCGGGAAACUGAGGCUAAUGAGCGAUAGGUCAAGAUUCCUGGAAUGGGUUUUGGUCUAAACGGCGUGACAGCAUCUUGUCAUGUCCGCCCGAGGAUGGGACUGCGGCCGAUCAGGCUGUUGGUGGGGUAAAGGCCCACCAAACCAGUAACCGGUACGGGCUUUGAGAGAAGGAGCCCGGAGAUGGACACUGAGACAAGGGUCCAGGUCCUACGGGGCGCAGCAGGCGCGAAACCUUCGCAAUGCGCGCAAGCGCGACGAGGUUAUUCCGAGUGAUUUCCGCUGAGGAGAUCUUUUCUCAGAUCUAAAACGUCUGGGGAAUAAGGGGAGGACAAGUCUGGUGUCAGCCGCCGCGGUAAUACCAGCUCCUCGAGUGGUCAGGGCGUUUAUUGGGCCUAAAGCAUCCGUAGUCUGCUCGGUAGGUCUCCUGUUAAAUCCAACGGCUCAACCGUUGGUCUGCAGGAGAUACCGCUGGGCUAGGAGGCGGGAGAGGCGGACGGUACUCCGAGGGUAGGGGUAAAAUCCUUUGAUCCCCGGAAGA
rnacentral:rRNA from 1 species